rnacentral:tRNA from 1 species
GAUUGUGGCUCAGUGAUAGAGUGCUUGCCUAGCAUGCAUGAGGCACUGGGUUUGAUCCCUGGCAACA